rnacentral:lncRNA from 1 species
AAAGAAUCAGAAUAAAAGAAUAUUUACUCGGAUAAAUAAUAAAAGUAUGUUUUAUUGAAAAUAAAAAUGUCUGAACAUGAGCCGACUUCUCAAAAGAAAUCUCAUUCCUCUUAGGCUUUAGAGCAAUAAGAGUGUUCUAAAUAUUACUCCGUAAAAUUCCUAAAGAUUACAGGAAGUUCUUCUGCAGUCCAAUUGUUUAAGGAACUUCCCGGUUCAUAAGGGCGAAUGCCCUCAAGGUUUCUUUGUUCAGUCCCUUCCUUAUGUAUGACAUUGAUGGGAUGAUUUUUAUUUCCAAACACCCCCUUCUCUGGGUAAGCUAUCCCUCCUGACACAAAAGUCGGGGAUAUGUAAGGGAACGUCGUUAAUUCUCAUUCAACUUCUUUUUCACUCAGUCGUGACUUUAACUAAUUAGGAUUUUUUAUGGAUUUAAAUGCAUGUGAUGUGAUGCAAUGCAAAUGCAUGAAUGCAAAAGAAAAGGAGAUGUUGAUUUUGAAUUCAAUUCCAUUAGAAUAACUUUUCUAGAAAACAGAUUUCUUUACAUGAAAAUAGAUUACAUAUGUGGUCUUGCCCUUCAUAGUCCAAGUAAACGCUGAUCUUUUCUUCAUGGUCGAAUCCUGUAAAUUCUCUAAAAGAUGUCUUAUCUAGCUGCUUGCUGCUUAAUCUGAGCCUCGAUCUCUUGCUCGCUUAUCUCCAUGAUACACAUCAAAAAGUGUCGGCUCUUGGAUAAUCUUCGUUGGCAAUCAAGUCAUGUAUUCCUUCGUGGACUUCUGGCUUUCUCUCGUCGUGCUCUUGGAUAACCUUUGUUGGCUUGAAUCUCUGGUAAUCACAUCAUGUAUUCCUUCAUGGACUAUCAACUUUCUCUCGUCGUUUAUUUGGACUAUAUUCAGACGACCGCACCAUAAUCUACUUUAUCAAGAAAUUCAUUUCCUUAUGACAAACUAUUCUAUUUAGGAAUCAAAUUUCAAAUCAACACAUUCUUUUCUUUGAUGUAAUGUAAUGCAAAUACAUGAAUGCAAAAAGGUAUUGAUCUCGAUUCAAUCUCAUUUAGAAAACUUUAUUUUUACAUAUAAAUGGAUUACAAAUACGCUUUCCCUAAUGUCCAAAGUUUUAAAAAAAACUCUUAGCCACGAUCUGAUUGUAUCUCAUAUUGGUGCUCAAUAUGUCAGCCUGUACCGCCAAUGUCUGAAAAUAAUCACCUACCUCCUGAGUUUGAGCUACGACUUCACUUGUAUAAUAUAUAUACAUGCAUAUAUAUUUAUAAUGAAAUGAUUAUAUAAUAUAUAUACAUGCAUAGAAAAUAUAUUUGAAAAUAAACUAUAUAAAAAGGUUAAAUAUUAUGAUAUAUAAAAUACAUAAUCAAAUGUAUAAAAGAUAGGAAAAAAUAUACAUAUUUGAAAAAUGAAGAAAUUAAAAUAAAAAAUGUUGAAAAACUAAGAUAGACAAAGAAUAAAAUAAGAACAAACCACAGAGAGUAAGAACGUAAGAGGGAGAGAAAUUUGGAUGAAUGCUCUCAAGAAUUCUUAUUGCUUCCCAAAACUCCAAGUGUUUUACAAUGAAAGGAAAGGCCUCUAUUUAUAGUUGAGCCUCCCCAAAUCCAACGGUACAGAUCAAUUACAUCAACAGUUAAGAUUAAAGGAUAUCUACAAAUUAAAUCUCCAAGAUUACAAAAUCAUAUCUUUUAAAAUUGUAUAUCAUAUCUGAGAUUGCAAUCAUAUCUAAGAUUGUAUCAUAUCUAAGAUUGCAAUCAUAUCCAAGAUUGUAUCAUAUCUAAGAUUGCAUAUCAUUGAAGAUUAUAUUUCCAUAUGAGUCAAGCUUGUAGAUAGACCUUAAAUCUUUUCAAGUAAUGGGCCAUUCCGAUCGGGCCACAUUAUAUUUGUAAUUUUGUACUGGACUUGGACUUUGUUUUAUUUUUAUUUUUUGGGGGUUUAUUAUUUUAAAUACUGAAAUGGGCCGGGCAAAAUUGAGUGUCUACAGCCACCUCUUAAUUAAGACUCGCAAAGAAGAAGCCAAGAGAAGAGAAGGUAUUUUUAAAUUUGAAGCAUGGUGGAUUCUAGAAGACUCUUUUAAUGAAGAAGUUAAGAACUUUUGAGGAAGGGCAGUAGGAGAUAUUUUGCAAAAGCUUGAGUUUUUGAGAACAAGACUGAAAAGGUGGGCGAAGAAGAUAUGAAUGAAUAGAAAUUGGAAAAAGGAGAUGUUAACAAAGAAUUUAUCAGAAUUAGUAGAAGCUGAAAGGGAUGAGAGGAAUUUAGCUGACAUGAUUGAUACAAAAAUUCAGCUAAAUUUUGAAAUUGAAAAGGAAGAAUAUUACUAGGAACAGAUGGCUCGGUUAAACUAGCUGCAACUUGGCAAUAGGAACACAGCUUUUUUUCAUAGUUAUGCAACACAAAGGAGGAGGAAAAAUUAGAUUAAGAAGCUACAGAAAGAUAAUAGAAAGAUUACGGAAGAUGUUCGAGAAAUGGAGGACAUUGUACGGGUGUAUUUUGAGAAUCUGUUUAAAGCAGGGAGGACUACUUUUAAUGAACAUGUUACUUCGGGUAUUACUCAUUGUAUCUUUGAUAAAGAUAAUAGUAAGCUCAUAGCGCCUUAUGAGGGGGAAGAAAUUCGGGGAGCUUUGUUUGAGAUGGGGUCCAUAAAGGCACCAGGGGAAGAUAAUAUUUUUUUUUAUCAAAGAUGUUGUGAUAUCGUUAGGAGUGACGUUGUUUCCUUUUGCCUGAAUCUUCUGAAUGGAGAGAUGGAGGUUAGUUCAAUUAAUGCAACUCAAAUUGUGUUGAUCCCAAAUAUUAUUAAUCCUUCUAAUCUGACUCAUUUUCGGCGAAUUAGUCUAUGUAAUGUUAUUUACAAAAUUGUGUCAAAGGUGAUUGCAAAUAGAUUUAGAGGAGUUAUUGAUAAAUGCAUUGAUGAAGCACAGAGCGCAUUUGUGUCAGGGAGACUCAUAACAGAUAAUGCACUAGUGGCUUAUGAAAUUUUACAUUCGAUGAAACAAAAGAGAGGGGCGAAGAAGGGAUUCAUGGCAGUCAAGUUAGAUAUGAGUAAGGCCUAUGACCGAGUAGAAUAGAAUUUUAUUCAAGAAAUCAUGAGUAGAAUGGGUUUUACUCAAAAAUGGAUUGAAUCUAUUAUGAAAUGCAUCUCUAGUGUUUCGUAUUCAAGAAUGGUUAAUGGUAAUAAAGGAGAUAUUUUCUAUCCAACAAGGGGACUUAAGCAAGGAGAUCCAUUAAGCCCUUUUUUUUAUUCUUGAUAUGUGGGGAGGGUCUAUCAGGUCUAAUGCGAAUGGCUAUUGGCGUAGGAGUUAUAAAAGGUGACAAAGCUAGUAGAAAUAGCCCUAGGGUGUCUCAUUUAUUAUUUACUGACGAUUGCAUACUCUUCGAAAAAGUAACAAGAAGGGGAGUAAGCGCAAUCAAGCAGAUUUUACGAGAGUAUAAAAAUAGUUCAGGACAAUGCGUAAAUUUUGAAAAAUCGGCAGUCUUUUUUAGCAGUAACACAUCUGAGGAAAAUAAGAUAAUGAUCACCCAAUUGGGAAUCCGCAGCUCCAAUGAAUUAGAAAGGUAUUUAGGGCUACCAAGUUUAGUUGGGAGAAGGAAAAAAGAAUAUUUUCAAGCAUUGAAUGACAGAAUUAAACAGCGAAUUGAUAAUUGGAGUAUGAGGUUACUAUCUCAAGGUGGUAAUGAGAUAUUUAUUAAAGUAGUUUUACAAGCGAUACUGACUUACUCAAUGGCAUGUUUUCUAUUACCAAAUACAUUAUGUGAUGAAAUAGAAGGCAUUGUAGCCAAAUUUUGGUGGAAAAAGGGUCGUGGGAGGAAAGGAAUUCAUUGGUGUUCUUGGAGAAAUAUGUGUUCUUUAAAAGAAGUUGGAUGUAUGGGUUUUCAAAAUUUUUGCCAAUUUAAUGUUGCGUUAUUAGCUAAGCAGGGCUGGCGCCUUAUUAAUAAUCUGAGUUCAUUAUUAGCCAGAGUUUUUAAAGCCAAAUAUUAUCCGCAAUCAAACUUUUUAAAUGCACAGUUGGGUUUUUGAAAACUGGAUGGGCUAACCUGGGUUUUUGAAAGGAGCACAAUGGAGCAGUGUCGGUUUUUUUGCUGUGCACUAUGGUGCAUAUGAAGCUCUCGAAAUCAACCCGUACAUGAAAAGAAGAUCAUAACAGUUAGGGAUUUAGCAAGGAAAGUCAGCAGUUACAUAGCAAAACUGGAUGGGAUCUGAAUGACAACACUUACCCUUUCUACCAAAAGGGUCAACAGUUAUACUGGAGUGACGGAAGGCAUCACAGUUCAGUUUGAUGCCACUUUUGACAGAAGAAAUGCUAGAUCUGCCUCAGGUAUAGCGUUCUAGACCAGAUGGGAGCUUUAAAAGCCUCAAAGACAGUUAUACAUGAAGAUAUCCCCAUCCCGUUCAUAGCAGAAGCUCUCGCAAGAUUAGAUGCCAUUAAGUUAGCAAUAGAAAUGGGGAUAUCAACAGUAACAAUAGAGGAGGAUUUGAAAACAGUCAUUCAAAAAUGCCAAACGAUAAGAAUGGACAAGUCGGUUCUUGAAACGAUUAUAUAUGAUAUACAAACCAGAAAAUCCAGGGUUCAAGAUGUUACUUUCAAGUUUAUCCACAGAAAAAAGAACAUUCAAGCCCAUAAUCUAGCAAAAGAAGCGUUAGAGAGAAGGGAUGACUCACAACUGGGAGGGGAAACGACAAUCCACAAAGCAGCAAACCCAGAGGGAAAAUGGAGAGAGUCUCCGGAUUGAAGAUGAAUGGGCAAUAACUAAAGAGCAGUUAAGGGUAGUAAGAUUUUGAUAUCUUUGGGAAUGGCUAUCUGAUAAAGCGUGGCUGUUGGGACGUGAAAAGACUAGUAAAGCAUUAAAAUGGCUAGGCUGUUAGAUGUGACUGGGAGAUUUUCUUUGAUUUCCUUUUUGCUUUUUUU